rnacentral:rRNA from 1 species
CCAGCUCCAAUAGCGUAUAUUAAAGUUGUUGCCGUUAAAAAGCUCGUAGUUGAACCUUGGCCCUGGCUGAUCUGUCCUCCUAAUCGAGCGCACGGAUUCGGUCGGGGCUUUCCUUCUGGGGAGCCCCAUGCCCUUCACUGGGUGUGGCGGGGAACCAGGACUUUUACCUUGAAAAAAUUAGAGUGUUCAAAGCAGGCCUUUGCUCGAAUACAUUAGCAUGGAAUAAUAGAAUAGGACAUCGGUUCUAUUUUGCUGGUUUCUAGGACCGCUGUAAUGAUUAAUAGGGACAGUCGGGGGCGUCAGUAUUCAAUUGUCAGAGGUGAAAUUCUUGGAUUUAUUGAAGACUAACUACUGCGAAAGCAUUCGCCAAGGAUGUUUUCAUUAAUCAGUGAACGAAAGUUAGGGGAUCGAAGACGAUCAGAUACCGUCGUAGUCUUAACCAUAAACUAUGCCGACUAGGGAUCGGACGGUGGUUUUUUUAUGCCCCGUUCGGCACCUUACGAGAAAUCAAAGUUUUUGGGCUCGGGGGGGAGUAUGGUCGCAAGGCUGAAACUUAAAGAAAUUGACGGAAGGGCACCACCAGGCGUGGAGCCUGCGGCUUAAUUCGACUCAAC